rnacentral:rRNA from 1 species
CUUGACGACCAUAGAGCGUUGGAACCACCUGAUCCCAUUCCGAACUCAGAAGUGAAACGAUGCAUCGCCGAUGGUAGUGUGGGGUUUCCCCAUGUGAGAGUAGGUC